GAUGAACGCUGGCGGCGUGCCUAACACAUGCAAGUUGAGCGAUUUACUUCGGUAAAGAGCGGCGGACGGGUGAGUAACGCGUGGGUAACCUGCCCUGUACACACGGAUAACAUACCGAAAGGUAUGCUAAUACGAGAUAAUAUGCUUUUAUCACAUGGUAGAAGCAUCAAAGCUUUUGCGGUACAGGAUGGACCCGCGUCUGAUUAGCUAGUUGGUAAGGUAACGGCUUACCAAGGCGACGAUCAGUAGCCGACCUGAGAGGGUGAUCGGCCACAUUGGAACUGAGACACGGUCCAAACUCCUACGGGAGGCAGCAGUGGGGAAUAUUGCACAAUGGGCGAAAGCCUGAUGCAGCAACGCCGCGUGAGCGAUGAAGGCCUCGGGUCGUAAAGCUCUGUCCUCAAGGAAGAUAAUAGACGGUACUUGAGGAGGAAGCCCGGCUAACUACGUGCCAGCAGCCGCGGUAA
rnacentral:rRNA from 1 species